rnacentral:rRNA from 1 species
AAUAUCAAAGGUGAGCCAGUACAGGAUGGACCCGCGUCUGAUUAGCUAGUUGGUAAGGUAACGGCUUACCAAGGCGACGAUCAGUAGCCGACCUGAGAGGGUGAUCGGCCACAUUGGAACUGAGACACGGUCCAAACUCCUACGGGAGGCAGCAGUGGGGAAUAUUGCACAAUGGGCGAAAGCCUGAUGCAGCAACGCCGCGUGAGUGAUGAAGGCCUUCGGGUCGUAAAACUCUGUCCUCAAGGAAGAUAAUGACGGUACUUGAGGAGGAAGCCCCGGCUAACUACGUGCCAGCAGCCGCGGUAAUACGUAGGGGGCUAGCGUUAUCCGGAUUUACUGGGCGUAAAGGGUGCGUAGGCGGUCUUUCAAGUCAGGAGUGAAAGGCUACGGCUCAACCGUAGUAAGCUCUUGAAACUGGGAGACUUGAGUGCAGGAGAGGAGAGUGGAAUUCCUAGUGUAGCGGUGAAAUGCGUAGAUAUUAGGAGGAACACCAGUUGCGAAGGCGG